UACGGAAGGUAGCAGUGGGGAAUAUUGCACAAUGGGCGCAAGCCUGAUGCAGCCAUGCCGCGUGUAUGAAGAAGGCCUUCGGGUUGUAAAGUACUUUCAGUCGUGAGGAAGGUGUUAAGGUUAAUAACCUUAGCAAUUGACGUUAGCGACAGAAGAAGCACCGGCUAACUCCGUGCCAGCAGCCGCGGUAAUACGGAGGGUGCGAGCGUUAAUCGGAAUUACUGGGCGUAAAGGGCACGCAGGCGGUUAAUUAAGUUGGAUGUGAAAUCCCCGGGCUUAACCUGGGAAUGGCAUUCAAGACUGGUUAGCUAGAGUCUUGUAGAGGGGGUAGAAUUCCAUGUGUAGCGGUGAAAUGCGUAGAGAUGUGGAGGAAUACCGGUGGCGAAGGCGGCCCCUGGGACAAAGACUGACGCUCAUGUGCGAAAGCGUGGGGAGCAAACAGGGAUUAGAUACC
rnacentral:rRNA from 1 species